rnacentral:rRNA from 1 species
UACGUAGGUGGCAAGCGUUGUCCGGAAUUAUUGGGCGUAAAGCGCACGUAGGCGGAUGUGCCAGUCAGGGGUGAAAUCCCGGAGCUCAACUUCGGAACUGCCUCUGAUACAGCACGUCUUGAGUCCGGAAGAGGUGGGUGGAAUUCCUAGUGUAGAGGUGAAAUUCGUAGAUAUUCGCAAGAACACCAGUGGCGAAGGCGGCUCACUGGCCCGGUACUGACGCUGAGGUGCGAAAGCGUGGGGAGCAAACAGG